rnacentral:tRNA from 2 species
GCCCGUGUAGCUCAGUUGGUAGAGCAGCGCGCUCGUAACGCGAAGGUCGCAGGUUCGACUCCUGUCUCGGGCA